rfam:Gossypium hirsutum cultivar TM-1 chromosome 10, whole genome shotgun sequence
UAUUAAAAAUUUCAUUCAUUUCUACUAUUAAAAAAUGGUGUGGAUGACAGAAUAACUAAAUAUUUAUAUGUGACGUGCGACAUGUACCUCAUUAUGAUGUACAAUGACCGGUUGUUAACAAUAAAAAUGGAUGGACUUUUUAGCA